AAUAAUUAUGAAAUCAAUUCAUAAAUAAUUUUAAAUAAAUAAGUUAUUAAAUACGUCUUAUAGAGUACUCUUAUUGCAUUGUAUAUGCGAUCUCCUGUUAUUUAUGUAUAUCUAUAUCUAUAAGAACAUUUCCUAUAUGAUGACACAAAAGAUAAUUCGUCAAUGAUCAUGUGUAAUAUAGAUUGUACAUUAGUUACGCACAAACUACAAUUUCCACUAAUUUCAUUAUAUUUUUUUAGAAAUUCAAUAUUGUUAUUAACAAGAUUAUUUAAAUAAAACGUAGCAGUCAGUGUUUUAAUCUUUUUAAUUACAUAUUCAUAUAUCAGGAUCGACAUAUUUUAAUACAUUCAAUUUAAUAGUGUAAUUUAUUACUUUUUAUUUUAUUGAUUUCUUUCAAUAUAUCGGAAAUUAAAGAACUAAAAUAACGAGAAUUAUACUUUACUCAUAUCGAUUGUACAUGUAUUAUAGUGUAUAUUGCACAACCAAUCAAAUUACUAGUUAUAAAUAAACAUGGUUCUCUUUCUUUAAUCCGUUUUUGUCCUCUGCGCAGUGUCAAGAGCAUGUUGAAUAUAUCAUAUGUUUCUGUACAGAUUACAGUUCCUUAUUAAGAUUAUUUUAACAGUAUAUGAUUGAAUAUAAUAGUCUAUAAAAUAAAAACGUUUAAUGGUAUAAAUUGAGCGUAAACAAAUGUAAUUGAAAUAUUAAUAGAAAUUCCAAAAAUACUCCAA